UACGGAGGGUGCGAGCGUUGUCCGGAUUUAUUGGGCGUAAAGAGCGUGUAGGCGGCCAUGCAGGUCAGCUGUGAAAACUCGAGGCUCAACCUCGAGACGUCGGUUGAAACCGUAUGGCUAGAGUCCGGAAGAGGAGAGUGGAAUUCCCGGUGUAGCGGAGAAAUGCGCAGAUAUCGGGAAGAACACCUAUGGCGAAGGCAGCUCUCUGGGACGGUACUGACGCUGAGACGCGAAAGCGUGGGGAGCAAACAGG
rnacentral:rRNA from 1 species